GGUAGACGCUGGCGGCGUGCCUAACACAUGCAAGUCGAGCGGUACAGUUUGAAGCGUUCGGUGGAGAGCUGUAUAGCGGCGGACGGGUGAGUAAAGCGUAGGAACGUGCCCCUCGGAGUUGGAUAGCCAUGGGAAACUGUGGGUAAACCGACAUAGACUCGGGAGAGUAAAGGCCGAAAGGCGCCGAGGGAGCGGUCUGCGUCCCCAUCAGGUAGUUGGUAGGGUAAAGGCCUACCAAGCCGACGACGGGUAACCGGUCUGAGAGGAUGGCCGGUCACAAGGGCACUGAGAGACGGGCCCUACUCCUACGGGAGGCAGCAGUGGGGGAUUUUGGACAAUGGGCGAAAGCCUGAUCCAGCGACGCCGCGUGGAGGAAGAAGUCCUUCGGGAUGUAAACUUCUGAACUAGCCGAAUAAAAGGCCUGUGGACACACAGGAGAAGAAAGUAGGCUAGGAAAAGUCCCGGCUAACUACGUG
rnacentral:rRNA from 1 species